AGUUUCCAUUUUCCAGCAAUUGUUCUUCAUCGGCAACUGUUAUUGUCUGGUGAAAUUUCUUGUGUUUCCGUUUUGAAGCCCAUUUGUCGAUCGGCGAGUGUUCUUCACUGAGAUAAAGCUUCAUUGGCUGAAAGUAUUAGCUCUCACAGCCAGCAUCUAUAUUACUCAGCAUUCCAGAGUUACCCUGCUUCAUAAGCUACUAACUAGCAUACCUCAAGAAAUGCUUUGACAAGAAAGUGAAGUCAGAAGAACUCCAUCAACUGCAAAGAAAACCUGCAAGUGCCCAACAACCCCAAAGAAAGAGAGAAGGGUUAGCAACAAUUUAGAUACAAGCUGCUUAUAUCCAUUAUGAACAAUGUAAAAGGAACAUGUACAAUCUCAAGCUGCACCAUUGUAUUUCGGAUCUGUGGGGGUCCAGAAUCAUCAAGUUGAAAGACUUUUUAGUUUACAAGGACAGGAGAAGCUGAGCAGUCAAGACCUACACUUUUCCCAACCAUGAAUUGGGAUUUUACAACAUUUUCAAGUAUAUAAGUUUCUACACGAAAUCAUCUUGAUUACUUUUUUUUUUUUGUUGUUUAGGCUACUUGUUUUUGUUUGGACUGAGAAAGAAACAAAACAUUGACAGCAGGUGAUGGAGAUAUCCAUUUGAGUUUAUAAUAUGAUUUUUUAUGUGAUAAAAAAAGUGAAAAAGAAAAAUCCUUUCGGAUGUAUUAGUUAGUUGUUAGUGGGUUGCUUGCUGGCCAUGGCCUUAGUUUGUAUUUGUAUUUGGUACUUUUUAUGUCUUUAAUGCAACCAAAAAUGCACUAAUUUGAAUGCAUGUAAGUGCAAAUAAUUAUGGAUGAAUUGGACUUGACCCAAGUAAGAAGGGCAAUAGGCUUUAUAAAGCCCUUGCUUGAAAAGAACUCAUUUUUA